rnacentral:rRNA from 1 species
UACGUAGGGUGCAAGCGUUGUCCGGAAUUAUUGGGCGUAAAGAGCUCGUAGGCGGUUUGUUGCGUCGGCUGUGAAAUCCCGAGGCUCAACCUCGGGUCUGCAGUCGAUACGAGCAAACUAGAGUGUUGCAGGGGAGACUGGAAUUCCCGGUGUAGCGGUGAAAUGCGCAGAGUAUCGGGAGGAACACCAGUAGCGAAGGCGGCACUCUGGGCCGGUACUGACGCUGAGGAGCGAAAGCGUGGGGAGCAAACAGGAUUAGAAC